ACCAUAGAUGCAUAAGUAAACCGACUGUUGGUUGUCGUGAAUCAUGGUCUAACGAUAUGGAAGUUAACGUUUCUCGCUCUUGUUUUUAAUAAUGGAUAUAUUUUAUGUUUUAUUCACAAUAGCUUUUUUUGUGUUUGUGUGCAGUGGCAAGAACCAAGACCAGGUCAUAUAUUGUUUAAAAGAUACAGAGUGUGAAUUGCACAUGCAUGCGGAAGAUUUCACUUAUGUAGCAGUACACUGGGUAUACAAACAGAAUGACAAUGCUAGCGAUACAAAAAUUGGCUACUGGUAUGAAAAUAAUAUAAACUUAAAGAAUGGCUACAAUAAAACAAUGCGUGUAGAAAAAGUGGGAAAAAAAGAUAUGCACUUAGAGAUAAUGAAUGCUACUUCAAAAGACACAGGAAUAUAUAACAGUAACAUUGUACUCAUUAAUUCAACAUCUAUAAACACCCGAAAUAAACUAUACGUUAUAAACAAAGCAUGGAAUGCUUGUGUAGAGGAUAAAAAACAACUAUACAAUACAACAAUAGAUCUUAACUCGUCAACAGACUUGGUGAAGAAUCUAACUGAAUCAUACAAAGAUAAAAAAAUACAAAAAACACCGCAUGCGUGUUCUGCAGACAUUGAAUUUCAAAAGGAUGGAUGUUAUGUACUGGGUGAAUUUGUCAACGGUGAAAAACAGUGUCUCCUAGUAGAAACAGGCCCUUGUACAUGUCAUGCUGAACAUAAAAAUAGAACUCUUAAAGGUACUUCAAGUGAUACAGGUAAAGAUGCUAGAGUUGGAGUAAUAGUGGGAUGCGUUGUUGGUGUUGCAGUUCCCGUUGUUAUCAUUAUCUUCAUUAUUUUCAUCUUUAUCAGGAAGAAGCAUGGAGCAAAGGAUCACCCAUAAUAUGUGUUAAUAUGGAUACAUGGUUUCUUUUGGUGGUUCUGUUAAAGAAUUGGGCAAUUUAAAUGUUUAACUAAAUUGGAAAAAAAGACACUUGAUACUUUGUAGGGAAGCUUGAUUGUUCUGUAGUUAUGAAAGGGGACAUUAAGUGACACAGAUUCAGUGCCAUCACAGUUUUGUCAGUUCCAAUAACAUUGGUAGUGUGCAGAAAAUCGUGAUGUAAUUAAACACAACGUUCAAUCAAUAUACCCAUAGAUUUUCUGUUGCAUUUCAAAGGUAGAUAAUUGUAUUUAAGGAGUUGUCUCCCCUAGCCAACAAAAUUCAACAGGACCUCCUGAAAAAAAAAAUAUCCAUGGUAAUUAUCUAUCCAAAAACGAUCAAACACUUUGUUAUCAACUCUUUCGUGCACAUGCUUAAAAUUCCUAUUAACAUCAUUGGGGACCGAUCAAUCGCGAAUCAUGUAAGUGUUUAUGGUGAUGGUCAUUACAAUAUUGUUACACUAUGAAUUAACCCAAGACAAACUAGAUCUAGAUAAUAUGCCCAUUAAGUUUGAUUUGAUGUUCAUAUUUACUAUAAGUUAAUUCGGAAGUGGUCUACUUGCAUGAUAGAAGUAAUCAAUGACUAGUAUAAAGAUAUAAAUACUACUAUAAUAGUAACACCUGGAUCUGUGCCAAGGAUGACAACACAUUGUUAAUAUAAUAUUAAUUUUUAACAUGGCAUAUUAUGUUAUGUAUAUAUUUGUUAAAUAAUGUAAAUAUGAGAGUUGCCUGUCGAUUAUAUGUAUUGUAUGCUACACCAUCUAUAAGUAAAUGAAAUAUACAGAAAUUAGAUUUUCUGAGUAAAAUGAUCGGAUCCUAGUUGAAAACAGAAUUUGUGGGAUAUUUAACCAUUAUUAUAUAGUUAUAAUAAAUGAUGUUACUGGUAGCCUAUAAGGAAUCAGUUGUCUGCCCAUAUAUAUCUUGUAUUCUAUGCUAUCUACACCUAAAUGAGUAAAAUGAUGGAUUCUUAGUUUUCUAAAUUUUUGUGACCCACAGAUAAAUGAUUCCCCCAGUGGUAUGUAACCUAUGUUUUAUUUGUAACUUAUGUAUAUUUAUAUAUUCAGUAUGCAUUCCCGACGACCAUCUUUAUACACUAUAUAUACAUCCGGCACCGGCACCAUUUGUAUCGCCACCGUUUGUAUCAGUAUUGUAUCUAUCGGCAUAUAGCCAGCCUAUAACAAUCUUGGAUAGACUAAUUAAGCGCCCCCAACCAGAAGGAAUUAUCUCACUGCCUAUAUUUCUGAACUGCAAUUUCUUUUUAUUUUUAUUUUAUUUUUUUACACAAACGUGGCACUUUCCUAACUGUUAAUUUUACUGCUACAAAAUGUAGUAUUUUAUGUAAGUAAUUAUUAUAGCCUACUUUUUAUUUUUUAGUUUAUGUUUAUUUACAUUGUUUUUUUAUUGUUUAUUAUCUUGCAUUUAAGCUCGGUUGUUAUUUAUGUUUUAUCAUUGAUUUUAUAUGAAGCCAGGAAUAAUUUAAUUGACAGAAAUUGGCUAUAGCCUUGUUCAACGAGUCCUUUACAUCCUCUUGACUUGAGCGUUAUUUGAAAUGUUUAGAGCAAUGACAUCUCGUUUAGAGUCCCUACAAGAAGGAUUAAUUGUGUAGAAAACUACGAUAAAAUUGCAUAACAUAUUUAUUGAACACGGCUAUUUGUCUUUUAAAAAGAAAUAUACAGGGACGCAAUGAAAACGCUCCACUUUUAUAAAAGGAUGAUUGAUGCAAAGAUAUAUUUUAAUUAUGCUUUUCUGGAUGUAACAACAUCGUCAACAUCAUAGACGAUGAUGAUACUAGAAUGAUGAUUUCAUGAUCGUGUAAACGCACCACAGAUCACUUCUGUUAAAUAUAAAAAAGAUUGAAUUCGACAGAAUAGGGUUGUUGAAAUCCACGAUUUUUUGCCACAGACAUGUAACUAUUAAAUGUGGUUUUUUAAAAAAUACUGUGAGACAACCAUGCCAAAAAUCAAAUUUCAAUAGAGUCAUGUCUCACCAGAACUUCCAGUGAAAUUAGUGGUGCGUCAUAUUGCGUCUCAGUAUAUUUUGCGUUUAAGUUAUUGCGUGUAUUUGAAAUUUGUUAUACCAUAUAAAUUAUUUAAUGUACAUGUAUGUCAGAAUGAAGUAAAUUGUGAAUUUUUGUACCAGGACGCAUUUUUUAUUUAUAUAUAUGUCUUUAGUUUAUUAUUCUUUAGCUUUUAAUGUAUGUAUAUAUUUUAUUUAUUUAUGCAUUUAUCUAUCGUAAACAAAGAAGUACUUGUACUUUAUCUACUAGUACUUUAGUAUAUAUACAUAAAAAUACGUCCAGGUAAAAAAAUCAACCAUUUUAGUUCAUUAUGAUAUACACCAAAUCAUCAGCUAGCUGUCUGCCCCCCCCCCCCCCCCAAUAUACGUCUCAAGAUGUUGUUAUAGUAUAUAUCGUUUAUCUAGUCAGAUCUGAAAGGGCAAUCUCAAACUAAUUAUACUGCCAUCCUGGGGAGUAGAUGAUUCCGCUGGAAUUAAAAUAUCUUACACCCCAGAAGACCUUUCAUCCUCCAUUACAGUUUUAUUCAUGAUCAUACAGUAACGUGGCUAUAAAAGGUAAUACGAUAACGGCGAGAUACGGACUAGCAGGAUGUUUCUGCAUGCUUUUCCUUUGUCUGUGGUGAAGGCCCGGGGCCUGGUGAGAAACAGCGUUUAGACGUUCAGAUGUGACGAAAACCCGAUGUUCACCUUGGAAUUCGUAAGCGUAUGUCUGUUCAUUAACCCGGUUGGUGCCGCCAGACACUUCGCUUCAAAAAUAUAAUGGAAUAUUAGAGAGCUACCUGCAAUACUGUAAAUUUAUUGUAGCCUUGUACAAGUAGGAAUAGCCCCUAAACGAAUAAUUUUUAACACAUAUCAUCAUUACCAAAUUUGUCAUUUCAUGUUUAUCAACAUUUUCGUAAAAGCAAGGAUCUUCUAGUCAACUCACCCUAUUCGACCACAUUAUGCAAUCCUCAUUUUUAUCAAAUCCAUUUCUCAUCAUUAGUUGUGGGGUUAAAAAAGACAAACCACAAGCCCAAAAGCCGAAUCAUUAAGUACGAAACGAAGACUCAAGACCUGUAAAAACCUCAAACCAAAUCUAUAGGUAAAAAACAGAAAGUAGACCAUUACAAAAGCAGCGUCUUAGGUAACUGUUAAAUGUUCAUUUUAUUUGUUUGUGUUAGAUGCUUGAUAACGACGUGUGAAAUCUUGUUGAAACAGGUCUAAUAAGCCAUAGCAAAUGGUAUCCAUAAAAUAGUGUUUUUAUUUUAAGUGUGUCUUGUAUAUUGUCUUUGCUACUUAAAUGUGUGAUUUACCUUCUGCAGUCUCUACCACAUGGAUUACAAACAGCAAUUUGCUUUAUACAUAUAGCGGUCAACCUGUCUAUAUCAAAUAGAGUUUUAAAAUUCUCUUCGCAUUCAAUAUAAUAAAAGUUUUUGGUAAUCCUGUAUAAGUAGACGAAGAUACCGUUUGUGAUUUUGUGUCUUAUUCUCACACGGGUGCAGUAAUAAGAGGAAAUACAAUUUUAUGAUAAAUAAGGAACUUCUGAUUUAAAGUUUCAGACUAGCAAAACGCAGUUUGUAAUCAAUGUGGAAGAAAUAUGCUUUGUGAAUAACCGCAUUCCAUUGUAUAUAAAGUUUUUGCUUCUGUUUUACUGUUCACUUAUUGUAUUUCGUCACAUUUUAAACAAUAUUUAUUUUGAUGAUGAUUGUUUUGUCUCCGCAAAGUUGGUGCAUUUGAAAACGUAUUGUUGAUUGUGUUAUAGCUUAUAUAUAUAUUACAAUAUAAAAUCCAAUCUGUGCUACAAAA